AGAGUUUGAUCAUGGCUCAGAACGAACGCUGGCGGCGUGCCUAACACAUGCAAGUCGGACGAGAAAGGGGUUUCGGCCCUGAGUAAAGUGGCGCACGGGUGAGUAACACGUGGGUAACCUGCCUUUAAGACUGGGAUAACCCGUCGAAAGACGAGCUAAUACCGGAUAAGACCCCGGUUUCUGCGGGAGCUGAGGUCAAAGCUAGCCUCUAUUUAUAAGCAAGCGCUUAGAGAUGGGCCUGCGCACCAUUAGCUAGUUGGUGGGGUAACGGCCUACCAAGGCAGAGAUGGUUAGCUGGUCUGAGAGGAUGAUCAGCCACACUGGAACUGAGACACGGUCCAGACUCCUACGGGAGGCAGCAGUGGGGAAUAUUGCGCAAUGGGCGAAAGCCUGACGCAGCGACGCCGCGUGCGGGAGGACGCUUUUCGGAGUGUAAACCGCUGUCAGGGGGGAAGAAUGGGCGCGGGAGGAAAUGCCUGCGUUUUGACGGUACCUCCAAA
rnacentral:rRNA from 1 species